AAAAGAUCUAGAGAGAAAAAAAAAGGGAGCGCGCCUCGUCUCCACCUCUCCCCCCACACGCCGCCUCCUCAUCUCCGCCCCCCCUCUGGUCGCCUCGGCUCCUACCCGGCCGGCUCGUCGCAGCAGCGGCCCGCAGAAAGCUGCGGUGGUCGGCAGUGGAGAAGCAGCAUCGGACGACGGCGGCGGACCAGAUCGGCGAGUCACAGGAGAGGACACGAUGGCCGUCACGGGCAGAGCAGAGCGAACCCGACGCGGCGGCCGGCGCCAUCUGGAGAACUGCUGGCCGGUGGUGCGCGAUCUGGGCGAUUUGGAGGCGAGGCAACACCGUUGACCAGGACGCCGUCGAAAUUCUCAUCAUGCCGCUGGGAGAGGGGCUCGUCGAGGAUCCCCUCGACUCGACGGAUCCGCGAUGGAGGUGCUUGAGGAGGGGCUUCUUCUCCGGACUCCAUGGAGAUCGUAAAGAACUCUUGCAGGCACCCUUGUCAUUGCAAAAAUCAAGAGAAGCUAUGAAGGGGCCUACAUCGUAAUGAAGAGGGGCAGGGUGCAAAAGGAAGCGUGCCUUUUCUUGAUCUCUUAAAUAUAACCAUGGGAGCGGAAGAGUGGAUAUGGGAAAGUGGCAAACACAAGUGCUAUGAAUCUGUUGUUGCACUAAUAUCAUAUCAUCCUAAAUGCGAAAUCCAGCUAAAUGAACUAAAUUUCUCAUAUCGAAGGAGUCAAGAAGGGAAGUUACCCAAUAUUAUGUUAGGCACUUUGUCAUGGUUCGUCCUCGUAAGCUUUUAUACAUGGCCAUUGUUGACUGUUGCAAGACGCGAACCAUAUUACUGUUGCAAGAAAGAAUUCACUUAGGAUAUUAUCAUCGGGUUUGAAGGAAAGAUGUUGCAUGGCCGUCUUGUUUCAGUUAUGUCCUGGUAGUGAUUCGGAGGGCACCGGCAUUAAAGGAUCGAGGCUUCUUCUUGUGUCCGUACGAAAGAGAAGUUGUACCGAUUGCCAUUGGAAGGAGCGGGGCACAGGAUUAUUUGGUGUAGCAAGAAUGAUAGAGUUCUAGGCCGGAGCAAACAAAUGGACAGGGAAAUAGCUGCCUUAUGAACCAAAACUGAAUACUGAAAUAAGGAUUUUUGAGAGUUCAGAUGAGAUAGUAACAGAUCUGGCUGAGUAUAUUUCACAAGUUUCAGAAAUCUCUAUUAAAGAAAGUGGAUACUUCGCUAUUGUCAUGUCUGGAGCGCCACUUGUCAGUUUUUUGGGGUUAAUGAUUUUUUUUCUAUUCUUUGCUAGCUAUUUGCCAUAUUUGUUUUUGCACGCGAAUUUAAUACAGUGUGCAUUAUUGCAUCUGAAGUAUCCUGUUUUUAAUUUUUGAAAAGGAAACUUAGUGAAGUGACGUAUAUAUCCUGCUCUGAUGAACGUGAUGUAGCAAAGAACCAUGCAGAUAGUAAAUAUAAGUUACUCCUUGAUAAGAAAGGUUAGUUUUAAAUAUGUGGUCAUUGGGAGUUAAGAAAAUGUGGCAGAUUUUUUCUUCAGAUUAUGCGCUUUGCAUGGUCAUCUAUCUGUUGCGAUGUCUGCAUUCUAAAAUCAUAUUUAGAUGAUGUGAUUACUUCAGAUAUUUGGUGCUGGUGACUGGUCGCAUUUCGUAUCUAUUGGUGGCUGAUCAUCAGAUUUUCUAAGUCUUCUCGUUGCUUACCCAAAAAAAUCGUACGAAGAGUAGUCAGAUUUAGUGUGGCAGUUCUUGUGCAACAUUCCUGUAAAUAUACUGGCAGAGUUCCUUCCAUGCCUCCCAGCUUCUGUUUCAUCUGACAAGCAUCAAGAUAUACAUUUUUGACCAUGGAGCGUCGAUCAAGAUAUCGUAACUGCUUAUGUAAAAUAGUUCCUGAAGAGAAACUUAAGCAGGCUGUAUUCACUUGGAUCGAAGAAAUAGGCGCAAAGUUGUGUUCUCUGACGAGGUAUCUUGGGGCUUUGCCAGCUGCCAGUGCUAUGAAUAUCAUCUGCUGCAUCAUUGCUAGCUUUCCUAUGUUUGGGUUGUUUCUGCCAUCAACUGGUUCUGAAUAAUUGUUUUAUGUAACACUUGCUUGGAUAUGGUUCAUACAUUCUAACUUCUGAGAAAAGCUAAUAUGUUUUUGCAUUAUGGCAACUUCUCUUUCAUAAAGGAAGGCCAAUUUAUUCAUGUUUGAUAUGCAUUCAUACAUAGAAGGCAUUGGACCCAUGAGCCUUACUGCCAUUGAUAAAUGAUACCAUGUAGUGAUAUGUUCACACAAGCUGACCAAACACAAGCUAGCAAAAAAGAGCAGAGAAGGGGCGCACACAACCUGGCACCGCGCAUAGCACCCCUCAGGAUCGGAUGUAUGGGAGGUGCGACAUGAUUUUGCAAGUACAGACAGAAAAAUGCAGUAUGUUUGAUUAUUUUAUUAUUGUACCUUUCCUUUUUCUGUUCAGGUGGAUCUAAAUAUAUUCCAGACAGAGGAAUUAUUUAGGGACUAAAGUGGAAAAGCUAUGGGGAACUUGUGUGUUACUGGCGCCAGCAGCUGAUCAAAGCGGGAACAGAGCCAGAAGGCCGUCGAGGCACCACCUUCAGGCAACCUUGGAGUCGUCGCAGACAACCUUCAAGUGUAGCAUCGAAGUUGAUACAAGACAAGGGGGAAGGCCCAAAUCAGCAGGCAGAUGUGCCGGCUGCUGCGACUGGCAGUGCUCUGGGCGCGCAAGGGUAGCGCGGUACUCCUGGUCAAGACACUGCAGCACAACCGUGGGCCGCGGCCGCAGGCGCAACGAUUGGCUGCACUAUGGCGGACAGGGAUUCUCAACCGACGAGACGCCGGCGAGCGUUGGCUUCGUGGGGCUGGCGGAGAGUGAUGGGGAUGCCGGAGUGGACGUGAAGACGGACAUUGGUUGUUUAUUUACUGAUGAAUUUGGUUCACUUUUGGAUAAGCCAUGCAUCAGCUAUACAUGUAUGUGUGCUAUAAAUCAGCACUAAAACCAUUGGAAAGGGCGGGAGCUUACCUGGCACCGCACAGCUGCCGUUUGAGGCGGCGCGCCAUGGGCGCGCCCCAACCGCUAGUAUUAUUCAACCAGCACCUGAACUGGCAUACAUAAGACGUCGGGGGUAUCUAAGAGCCACAAAUGGCGCCCCAAAUCAAGAUUAACAGCGGCCUUCGCGAGUUCAUGUGCCUCCCAGUUUUUCUUUCUUCUUUCAUGACUGAACUGAACAGCAGCAAACUCCUCCGUCUUCUUAAGAAAAAGGGUUUUCCCC
rnacentral:rRNA from 1 species